GAUGAACGCUGGCGGCGUGCCUAAUACAUGCAAGUCGAGCGAACAGAUGAGGAGCUUGCUCCUCUGACGUUAGCGGCGGACGGGUGAGUAACACGUGGAUAACCUACCUAUAAGACUGGGAUAACUUCGGGAAACCGGAGCUAAUACCGGAUAAUAUAUUGAACCGCAUGGUUCAAUAGUGAAAGACGGUUUUGCUGUCACUUAUAGAUGGAUCCGCGCCGCAUUAGCUAGUUGGUAAGGUAACGGCUUACCAAGGCGACGAUGCGUAGCCGACCUGAGAGGGUGGUCGGCCACACGGGGGCUGACACCCGGCCAGGACCCUUAGGGGGGGCGGAAGUAGGAAUUCUUCCGAAGGGGGCAAACCCUUAACGGGGCACCGCGGGGGGGGUGAGGAGGUUUUUGGAAUCGUAAACUUCUUUAUUAGGGGAAAAAAAAUUGUGAAAGAAACUAUGCACGUUUGGCGGUUCCCAAACAAAAAACCCCCGGCAACCUACG
rnacentral:rRNA from 1 species